rnacentral:rRNA from 1 species
GGACUACUGGGGUUUCUAAUCCCGUUCGCUCCCCUAGCUUUCGCACCUGAGCGUCAGUGACUUGCCAGGACGCUGCCUUCGCCUUUGGUGUUCUUCCAGAUCUCUACGCAUUUCACCGCUCCACCUGGAAUUCCGCGUCCCUCUCAAGCCCUCAAGUGCAGCAGUUUCCCGAGGCCUGUGGUAGUUAAGCCACCACCUGUCACUCUGAACUUACUGCACCGCCUGCGUGCGCUUUACGCCCAAUAAAUCCGGACAACGCUUGCCCCCUACGUAUUACCGCGGCUGCUGGCAC